rnacentral:misc_RNA from 1 species
CAACCCUCACGCCCCGCGUGGUCUUGGGCCGAGCCUCCGGGCUGGCCUCAAAAGCAGUGGCGGUGCCUCUGGGUCCUGAGCGUAGUAACAACUUCCGCUACAGGGCCCCGGGAGCGCUGGCCGAACCCCAACUCUUUCA